AUUGAACGCUGGCGGCAGGCCUAACACAUGCAAGUCGAGCGAGCGGCGGACGGGGGUGUAAUGUAUGGGGACUGCCCGAUAGAGGGGGAUAACUACUGGAAACGGUAUCUAAUACCGCAUACUAUCGGAUAAUCCAUAUGGGAUUAGCUAGUAGGUGUGGUAAUGGCUCACCUAGGCGACGAUCACUAGCUGGUCUGAGAGGAUGAUCAGCCACACGGGGACUGAGACCCGGCCCAGACUCCUACGGAGGAAGCAGUGGGGAAUAUUGCACAAUGGGCGCAAGCCUGAUGCAGCCAUGCCGCGUGUAUGAAGAAGGCCCUAGGGUUGUAAAGUACUUUCAGUCGGGAGGCGUUACCGACAGAAGAAGCACCGGCUAACUCCGUGCCAGCAGCCGCGGUAAUUC
rnacentral:rRNA from 1 species